GCUCAGUCGGUCAGUCGGUAGAGCGUGUGACUCCAGAUCUCAGGGUUGUGAGUUCAAGUCCCACACUGGGCA
rnacentral:tRNA from 1 species